GUGUGUUGGUGCCUCUGCAGGCUGCUGGAGCGGGUGAAGCCCUUGCCGCACUGGGCGCAGGUGUAGGGGCGCUCACCGAUGUGGGUGAGCUGGUGCCUCUGCAGGUGGCCGGAGUUGGUGAAGCCCUUGCCGCACUGGGCACAGGUGUAGGGGCGCUCACCGGUGUGGGUGCGCUGGUGAAC